rnacentral:rRNA from 1 species
CGUUGCGGUUCUAUUUUGUUGGUUUCUAGGACCGCCGUAAUGAUUAAUAGGGACAGUCGGGGGCGUCAGUAUUCAAUCGUCAGAGGUGAAAUUCUUGGAUCGAUUGAAGACUAACUACUGCGAAAGCAUUCGCCAAGGAUGUUUUCAUUAAUCAGGAACGAAAGUUAGGGGAUCGAAAACGAUCAGAUACCGUUGUAGUCUUAACCAUAAACUAUGCCGACUAGGGAUCGGGCGAUGUUAUUUCUUGACUCGCUCGGCACCUUACACGAAAGUAAAGUUUUUGGGUUCUGGGGGGAGUAUGGUCGCAAGGCUGAAACUUAAAGAAAUUGACGGAAGGGCACCACAAGGGGUGGAGCCUGCGGCUUAAUUUGACUCAACACGGGGAAACUCACCAGGUCCAGA